rnacentral:rRNA from 1 species
GAUGAACGCUGGCGGCGUGCCUAAUACAUGCAAGUCGAGCGAACGGACGAGAAGCUUGCUUCUCUGAUGUUAGCGGCGGACGGGUGAGUAACACGUGGAUAACCUACCUAUAAGACUGGGAUAACUUCGUGAAACCGUAGCUAAUACCGGAUAAUAUUUUGAACCGCAUGGUUCAAAAGUGAAAGACGGUCUUGCUGUCACUUAUAGAUGGAUCCGCGCUGCAUUAGCUAGUUGGUAAGGUAACGGCUUACCAAGGCAACGAUGCAUAGCCGACCUGAGAGGGUGAUCAGCCACACUGGAACUGAGACACGGUCCAGACUCCUACGGGAGGCAGCAGUAGGGAAUCUUCCGCAAUGGGCGAAAGCCUGACGGAGCAACGCCGCGUGAGUGAUGAAGGUCUUCGGAUCGUAAAACUCUGUUAUUAGGGAAGAACAUAUGUGUAAGUAACUGUGCACAUCUUGACGGUACCUAAUCAGAAAGCCACGGCUAACUACGUG